rnacentral:misc_RNA from 1 species
AAGGAUCAUUACCGAGUUUACAACUCCCAAACCCAUGUGAACAUACCUAUCGUUGCUUCGGCGGGAUCGCCCCGGGCGCCUUGUGUGCCCCGGAUCCAGGCACCCGCCGGGGGACCUUAACUCUUGUUUUAUUUAGAAUCUUCUGAGUAGUUUUUACAAAUAAAUAAAAACUUUCAACAACGGAUCUCUUGGUUCUG